GCCCCUGUGGUGCAAUGGUUACAUGUUUAGCUGCUAACUGCAAGGUCAGUAGUUUGAACCCACUCAGUGGCU
rnacentral:tRNA from 1 species